GACGGAGGAUGCAAGUGUUAUCCGGAAUCACUGGGCGUAAAGCGUCUGUAGGUGGUCAAAUAAGUCAACUGUUAAAUCUUGAGGCUCAACCUCAAAAUCGCAGUCGAAACUAUUCGACUAGAGUAUAGUAGGGGUAAAGGGAAGUUUCCAGUGGAGCGGUGGAAAUGCGUAGAGAUUGGAAAGAACACCGAUGGCGAAGGCACUUUACUGGGCUAUUACUAACACUGAGAGACGAAAGCUAGGGUAGCAAAUGGG
rnacentral:rRNA from 1 species